rnacentral:rRNA from 1 species
GCGCACCAGGCGAGAAAACUUCACACUGUGCGAAAGCACGAUGAGGGAAUCCCAAGUGCUUGCACGUAAGUGUAAGCUGUUUCUCUGUUUAAAACGCAGAGAGAGUAAGGGCUGGGUAAGACGGGUGCCAGCCGCCGCGGUAAUACCUGCAGCCCAAGUGGUGACCGUUAUUAUUGGGCCUAAAACGUCCGUAGCCGGUUUAAUAAAUGCCUGGGUAAAUCGUGUAGCUUAACUAUACGAAUUCCGGGUAGACUGUUAAACUCGAGACCGGGAGAAGUUAGAGGUACUCCUGGGGUAGAGGUGAAAUUCUGUAAUCCUAGGGGGACCACCAGUGGCGAAGGCGUCUAACUAGAACGGGUCUGACGGUGAGGGACGAAGCCCUGGGGCGCAAACGGGAUUAGAUACCCCGGUAGU